GCGGAUGUGGCGGAACAGGCAGACGCGCUAGGUUCAGGACCUAGUCUGGCUAACUACCAGGUGGGGGUUCGAAUCCCCCCAUCCGCACCA
rnacentral:tRNA from 1 species